rnacentral:rRNA from 1 species
GCAUAAGCUCACGCAAGCGAGGAAAACCUUGGUGCCUUGGGAGGGGCCCGCGGCCUAUCAGGUAGUUGGUGAGGUAACGGCUCACCAAGCCGACGACGGGUAGGGGGCGUGAGAGCGUGGCCCCCCACACGGGAACUGAGACACGGUCCCGACGCCUACGGGCGGCAGCAGUGAGGAAUCUUGCCCAAUGGGGGAAACCCUGAGGCAGCGACACCGCGUGCGGGAUGAAGGCCUUCGGGUCGUAAACCGCUUUUCUGGGGGACGAGUAAGGACGGUACUCCAGGAAUAAGUCCCGGCUAACUACGUGCCAGCAGCCGCGGUAAAACGUAGGGGGCGAGCGUUAUCCGGAAUCACUGGGCGUAAAGGGCGUCUAGGCGGCAGCCUAAGUCCCGUGUGAAAGCUCCCGGCUCAACUGGGAGAGGGCAUGGGAGACUGGGCAGCUAGAGACUCGGAGGGGGGUGUGGAAUUCCCGGUGGAGUGGUGGAAUGCGUUGAGAUCGGGAGGAACACCAGUAGCGAAGGCGGCACCCUGGCCGAGAUCUGACGCUGAAGCGCGAGAGCGUGGGGAGCGAACGGGAUUAGAUACCCCGGUAGUCCACGCCGUAAACGAUGACAACUAGGUGUUGGGUGUCCAAGGAUGCUCAGUACCGCAGCAAACGCGAUAA